CCCGGACCGGAAAUGACACCGGCGCGGAGCCGGUCGCCGGAGGGGCGUGGCCUGGUUAAACGCGGAGCCGGUCGCCGGGGGGGGCGUGGCCUGGUUAAUGCUACCUGACCGCGCCUGAGUAAAGCAGGGGUUUUUGACUGCGGCGAGCGGAGAAAUCCAGUUUUGGACGACAGACCGAAGUCGGUAUUUUGCCCACGGUAUCCUGAUCUGUCUCAGGAAACUACCAUUCUGCCCUAGAACUUUGUAGUUGGGGUUAAAAAUAACCUGUGAAGUAUACCAAGUUUAUCUUGAUGUCCUCUUCACAGUAACCUCAGGUAGUAAAAUACAACAAAACAAGACAGAGCAAACCAAUCGAGACACUGCAGUGAAGCUGGUACAAAAUUUCAGAGCAGGAUACCAGGAUAACAGUAAUAGGUAACCAUAGUAUAUCUUGUUAUCUUCACAAUAGUUGUCUGUUCAAUCAGGCAUAGCAAAAUUAAACCAAAAACAGAACAUUAUAAAACCUUUUGGAAGGGGCUGGGGAUUUAGCUCAGCAGCAUAAGUGCCUGCCUUGCCACCAGGCAGUCAUGAGUUCGAUCCCUGGUACCGAUUUAAAAAAAAAAAAAAAAAAAAAAAACCUAUUGAAACAGAAUAUUGAAUAGAGCAAAACUAUCGGAACAGGACUUCCAGGAGAACAUGGUGGACAGAUAGCAGCAGCUACGGAGGCUUUCUGAAAGACCCAGCUUAGAAUUCAGGAAUGGUGCGGAGUAAGGAAUCAUAAGCAAGUGGAGAUAUGCCCUGCUGACCCAAGAACAAACUGGGCUGAGAGAAAUCAACUGGGAAUGCAAUCCUGGUGCUAUAACAGGAACAGAAAAGCCACAGUGUGGAAGCUGGAGCCCGCACCAUUGGAAGCCAUCAUUUGGGUUUCCUGCCGCCGCCGCUGUGUCUACAUCGGCUCGGCAGGGAGAGAGACGAGCGAAAGCUCUGAGAAUGGGAAUUGGUGAACGGAGUUGAAAGCAGGACAGGCAGGGAGCUGUGCAUUGACCUGUGGUGAGUGAGAGAAACUGGGACUCUUCCAUGGUCUAGGAGACUCCAACAGAGGACAUUCUGGGACCGGGCAGACUUGCGGGAACAGGGUGCUGCAGCGACUUCAGUUACGUAUCCCCCUCUCAAGCGGGAUUGGUGAGCAGUGCCUAGCUUAGGUGACGCUGCUGGCUGAGACCCAGUAGGCUAGUACAACCCAGGUCCCAGCGCCUGUAGGUAGAUUAACCUGGAGGGGCAGGCCCUGCAUAGGCUGCCUGGUCUGCAACUUCCUGGUAUGGUGGGCGGGAACACAUAACCGACGCAAUUCAAUCAGACUGUGGCCAACAUGGAAGGAAGCUGGGCCUCUAAUAUACGCUUGCAUAUAUAAGGAACAAAGAAUAUGGGAAGAAGCAGCAACAAGAAAGGGUCCUCAGCCCCCAAUCCUGAGAAAGAGGCAAUAGCAGACACAGCACCAAUAGAUAUAAAGUGCUAUCUUCAGGGCCUCAUAGACAAGUUCAGGAAUGAAGUUAUUAAUGACCUGAAGCUAGACAUAAGCAGAAUAGUUAGAGAAAUGCUAAGCACCACCCAAGAAAAAACAGAUGAUGGAAUGGAAGAACAGAAAAAGAGGGGAGAAUUGUUUGAUGAGAAAAUAGAGAAAGCAUAGAAUAUGUGAAGCAGGUUCAAAGAGAUUACCAGGAAACUAAAAACUCUAUUGAAAACUGGCAUAACAGGUUGAAAGAAACUAAGGACAAAUUAUCUGAACUGGAGGGCAGAUUUGUAAUAUGGGAACAUGAAAUGAAAAACUUCUUAAAAAUAACAAAGAAACAAACAGCAAUAAUACAAAGACUAGAAGAUAAGAGGAUCUAUAACUUAAGAAUUAACAUAAAAGAAGAAGUAGGGACACAAACAAAUGAACUACAAAAGCUACUCACAGAAAUAAUCCAGGAGAAUUUUCCUAAUUUAGCAAAA